ACACAUGCAAGUCGAACGGGAUGCUUAGGCAUCUAGUGGCGGACGGGUGAGUAACGCGUGAGAAUCUGGCUCCAGGUCGGGGAUAACAGUUGGAAACGACUGCUAAUACCGGAUGUGCCGAGAGGUGAAAGAUUUAUUGCCUGGAGAUGAGCUCGCGUCUGAUUAGCUAGUUGGUGGUGUAAGGGACCACCAAGGCGUCGAUCAGUAGCUGGUCUGAGAGGAUGAUCAGCCACACUGGGACUGAGACACGGCCCAGACUCCUACGGGAGGCAGCAGUGGGGAAUUUUCCGCAAUGGGCGAAAGCCUGACGGAGCAAUACCGCGUGAGGGAGGAAGGCUCUUGGGUCGUAAACCUCUUUUCUCAAGGAAGAAGAAAGUGACGGUACUUGAGGAAUAAGCAUCGGCUAACUCCGUGCCAGCAGCCGCGGUAAUACGGAGGAUGCAAGCGUUAUCCGGAAUGAUUGGGCGUAAAGGGUCUGCAGGUGGAACUGAAAGUCUGCUGUUAAAGAGUUUGGCUUAACCAAAUAAAAGCGGUGGAAACUACAGAACUAGAGUGCGGUAGGGGCAAAAGGAAUUCCUGGUGUAGCGGUGAAAUGCGUAGAUAUCAGGAAGAACACCGGUGGCGAAAGCGUUUUGCUAGACCGUAACUGACACUGAGGGACGAAAGCUAGGGGAGCGAAUGGGAUUAGAUACCCCAGUAGUCCUAGCCGUAAACGAUGUAGAUACCCCAGUAGUCCUAGCCGUAAACGAUGGAUACUAGGCGUGGCUUGUAUCGACCCGAGCCGUGCCGGAGCUAACGCGUUAAGUAUCCCGCCUGGGGAGUACGCACGCAAGUGUGAAACUCAAAGGAAUUGACGGGGGCCCGCACAAGCGGUGGAGUAUGUGGUUUAAUUCGAUGCAACGCGAAGAACCUUACCAAGACUUGACAUCCUGCGAAUCCUGGUGAAAGCUGGGAGUGCCUUCGGGAGCGCAGAGACAGGUGGUGCAUGGCUGUCGUCAGCUCGUGUCGUGAGAUGUUGGGUUAAGUCCCGCAACGAGCGCAACCCUCGUUUUUAGUUGCCAGCAUUAAGUUGGGCACUCUAGAGAGACUGCCGGUGACAAACCGGAGGAAGGUGAGGAUGACGUCAAGUCAGCAUGCCCCUUACGUCUUGGGCUACACACGUACUACAAUGCUACGGACAGAGGGCAGCAAGCCAGGGAUGGCAAGCGAAUCCAGAAACCGUAGCUCAGUUCAGAUCGAAGGCUGCAACUCGCCUUCGUGAAGGAGGAAUCGCUAGUAAUUGCAGGUCAGCAUACUGCAGUGAAUUCGUUCCCGGGCCUUGUACACACCGCCCGUCACACCAUGGAAGUUGGUCACGCCCGAAGUCAUUACCCCAACCGAAAGGAGGGGGAUGCCUAAGGUAG
rnacentral:rRNA from 1 species